UUGACCUCUGACCUCAAAUCAGGUAGGAUUACCCGCUGAACUUAAGCAUAUCCAUAAGCGGGAAGAAAU
rnacentral:rRNA from 1 species